CGUUCGUUAGCGAGUUUUGGGUUACCUCGUGUGCCCUCGACGAGCGCGGCGUCACUCAACAGUACUGCCCGGUCGUGACCUGUCUCCUCCCGGAUUGUCUACGUGUAUCUCGCUAGAGGCUUCGAUCUGGAGCUUCAGGGCUUGGCAUCACGUUGUAGAAAACCGCGGAGGCCCAGAGCGGAGAGUAGAAGUCGGGUCCCACCCGACCCGUCUUGAAACACGGACCAAGGAGUCUAACAUGUGCGCGAGUCGUCGAGUCUAUUACGAAACUCGCGAGGCGCAAUGAAAGUGAAGCGGCCCCGAUGAGGGUGCAUCCGCGAGGGGUGAUCCCGUCUCGAACAGAGCGGGCGCAACCCCUGGGCGUCCGAAUGCUCGCGAGGCCCCGGUCAAACGGUGUGCCGAGUCGGCCGGACGAACCAAGAGCGUACACGUUGGGACCCGAAAGAUGGUGACCUAUGCCUGGCCAGGACGAAGCCAGGGGAAACCCUGGUGGAGGUCCGCAGCGAUUCUGACGUGCAAAUCGAUCGUCGGAGUUGGGUAUAGGGGCGAAAGACUAAUCGAACCAUCUAGUAGCUGGUUCCCCCCGAAGUUUCCCUCAGGAUAGCUGGUGCUCGCAAAGAGAACAAACGGAGUUUCAUCCGGUAAAGCGAAUGAUUAGAGGCCUUGGGGUCGAAACGACCUCAACCUAUUCUCAAACUUUCAAUGGGUGAGAAGCCCGGCCUGCAUUUCUUGAUUGAGGCCGUGGC
rnacentral:ncRNA from 1 species